CGGGUGAGUAAUACAUCGGAACGUGUCUUCUAGUGGGGGAUAACUGCCCGAAAGGGCAGCUAAUACCGCAUGAGACCUGAGGGUGAAAGCGGGGGGAGUCGCAAGACCUCGCGCUGGAAGAGCGGCCGAUGUCCGAUUAGCUAGUUGGUGAGGUAAAGGCUCACCAAGGCGACGAUCGGUAGCUGGUCUGAGAGGACGACCAGCCACACUGGGACUGAGACACGGCCCAG
rnacentral:rRNA from 1 species